rnacentral:rRNA from 1 species
GACGAACGCUGGCGGCGUGCCUAAUACAUGCAAGUAGAACGCUGAAGGAGGAGCUUGCUCUUCUGGAUGAGUUGCGAACGGGUGAGUAACGCGUAGGUAACCUGCCUGGUAGCGGGGGAUAACUAUUGGAAACGAUAGCUAAUACCGCAUAACAGUAGAUGUUGCAUGACAUUUGCUUAAAAGGUGCAAUUGCACCACUACCAGAUGGACCUGCGUUGUAUUAGCUAGUUGGUGGGGUAACGGCUCACCAAGGCGACGAUACAUAGCCGACCUGAGAGGGUGAUCGGCCACACUGGGACUGAGACACGGCCCAGACUCCUACGGGAGGCAGCAGUAGGGAAUCUUCGGCAAUGGACGGAAGUCUGACCGAGCAACGCCGCGUGAGUGAAGAAGGUUUUCGGAUCGUAAAGCUCUGUUGUAAGAGAAGAACGAGUGUGAGAGUGGAAAGUUCACACUGUGACGGUAUCUUACCAGAAAGGGACGGCUAAUUACGU